UGCGGCCAAUGGCGAGCCUCCACGAAGGAGUAACGAAGGGUAUAUAAGGGCGUGCGGCGCGGCCUAGGUGUUCAGCGGCAUUUGGAGACGCGGCGGUUUGUGGGUGACGGGCGGCGAGCGGGCGGCAUGAGGUACCUCCUGUUGGCGCUGCUGCUGCUGGGCGGCGCGCGGGCGGACGACGAGGAG